rnacentral:rRNA from 1 species
UGCGUAGGUGGUUCCUUAAGUCAGGAGUGAAAGGCUACGGCUCAACCGUAGUAAGCUCUUGAAACUGGGAAACUUGAGUGCAGGAGAGGAAAGUGGAAUUCCUAGUGUAGCGGUGAAAUGCGUAGAUAUUAGGAGGAACACCAGUAGCGAAGGCGGCUUUCUGGACUGUAACUGACACUGAGGCACGAAAGCGUGGGGAGCAAACA